rnacentral:tRNA from 1 species
GGUAGGGUGGCUGAGCGUCUAAGCGGUGGAUUGUAGCCCCAUAUACAGAGGUUCAAAUCCUCUUCUUACCA